AAAAGUCGUAACAAGGUCUCCGUUGCGUGAACCAGCGGAGGGAUCUUACCGAGUUUACAACUCCCAAACCCCAAUGUGAACGUUACCAAUCUGUUGCCUCGGCGGGAUUCUCUGCCCCGGGCGCGUCGCAGCCCCGGAUCCCAUGGCGCCCGCCGGAGGACCAACUCAAACUCUUUUUUCUCUCCGUCGCGGCUUCCGUCGCGGCUCUGUUUUACCUUUGCUCUGAGCCUUUCUCGGCGACCCUAGCGGGCGUCUCGAAAAUGAAUCAAAACUUUCAACAACGGAUCUCUUGGUUCUGGCAUCGAUGAAGAACGGCAGGAAAUGCGAUAAGUAAUGUGAAUUGCAGAAUUCAGUGAAUCAUCGAAUCUUUGAACGCACAUUGCGCCCGCCAGUAUUCUGGCGGGCAUGCCUGUCCGAGCGUCAUUUCAACCCUCGAACCCCUCCGGGGGGUCGGCGUUGGGGAUCGGCCCCUCACCGGGCCGCCCCCGAAAUACAGUGGCGGUCUCGCCGCAGCCUCUCCUGCGCAGUAGUUUGCACACUCGCACCGGGAGCGCGGCGCGGCCACAGCCGUAAAACACCCCAAACUCUGAAAUGUUGACCUCGGAUCAGGUAGGAAUACCCGCUGAACUUAAGCAUAUCAAUAAGCCGG
rnacentral:rRNA from 1 species